rnacentral:misc_RNA from 1 species
AAGCCAAAAUGAUGAGUAAUAGGGCUCCACUUGAAACGCACGUAGCACGCAGACUAUUCUACACAGGCUUAUAGUAGCAUCAAUAUGUAUAAUAAAGAAUAGAGGAAGAAACGACCCGUAUUCCAUUACGCUUACAUUCGCUCAAAUUUUUAUUAUCCCUUCUUGCUCCUAAUCCUCUUUGUUUUAUUAAAAACUAUAGUCAACUAGAUCCGGCUGGCAAUGUUUUUUCCUCUUCUAUUUUUUUUCCCUUUUAAAUGAGAAUAAUUAUCAAUGCUAAAUGUUAAUACCAGACGGUAAAGACAGAUGUAAGCAGUUGUAAAUGCUAGAUGCUAAAUGCAAUAAGAGCUAUUGUUA